CGGUUGAUCCUGCCGGAGGUUACUGCUAUCGGAGUUCGAUUAAGCCAUGCGAGUCUAAAGGUUUCUUCGGANGCCUUGGCGGACUGCUCAGUAACACGUGGAUAACNUACCCUUGGGACUGGAAUAACCCCGGGAAACUGGGGAUAAUACNGGAUAGAUCAGGGAUGCUGGAAUGCACCUUGAUCCAAAGCUCCGGCGCCCAAGGAUGGGUCUGCGGCCUAUCAGGUUGUAGUGGGUGUAACGUACNUACUAGCCGACGACGGGUACGGGUUGUGAGAGCAAGAGCCCGGAGAUGGAUUCUGAGACACGAAUCCAGGCCCUACGGGGUGCAGCAGGCGCGAAACCUUUACAAUGUGCGAAAGCAUGAUAAGGGAACUCCGAGUGCCAGUAUCUAAUACUGGCUGUCCUUGUGCCUAAACCGCACAAGAUAGCAAGGGCCGGGUAAGACCGGUGCCAGCCGCCGCGGUAACACCGGCGGCCCGAGUGGUAGCCGCUAUUAUUGGGUCUAAAGGGUCCGUAGCCGGUUCGAUAAGUCCUCUGGGAAAUCUGGUUGCUUAACAAUCAGACUGCCAAGGGAUACUGUUGAACUUGAGACCGGGAGAGGUAAGAGGUACUUCAGGGGUAGGAGUGAAAUCUUGUAAUCCCUGGGGGACCAUCUGUGGCGAAGGCGUCUUACCAGAACGGGUCUGACGGUGAGGGACGAAAGCUGGGGGCGCAAACCGGAUUAGAUACCCGGGUAGUCCCAGCCGUAAACGAUGCUCGCUAUGUGUCAGGUACGGUGUGACCGUAUCUGGUGCCGUAGGGAAGCCGUGAAGCGAGCCACCUGGGAAGUACGGUCGCAAGACUGAAACUUAAAGGAAUUGGCGGGGGAGCAC
rnacentral:rRNA from 1 species